UAAUACAUGCAAGUCGAACGCACUCUCGUUUAGAUUGAAGGAGCUUGCUCCUGAUUGAUAAACAUUUGAGUGAGUGGCGACGGGUGAGUAACACGUGGGUAACCUGCCCUAAAGUGGGGGAUAACAUUUGGAAACAGAUGCUAAUACCGCAUAAAACCUAACACCGCAUGGUGUAGGGUUGAAAGAUGGUUUCGGCUAUCACUUUAGGAUGGACCCGCGGUGCAUUAGUUAGUUGGUGAGGUAAAGGCUCACCAAGACCGUGAUGCAUAGCCGACCUGAGAGGGUAAUCGGCCACACUGGGACUGAGACACGGCCCAGACUCCUACGGGAGGCAGCAGUAGGGAAUCUUCCACAAUGGACGAAAGUCUGAUGGAGCAACGCCGCGUGAGUGAAGAAGGUUUUCGGAUCGUAAAACUCUGUUGUUGGAGAAGAAUGUAUCUGAUAGUAACUGAUCAGGUAGUGACGGUAUCCAACCAGAAAGCCACGGCUAACUACGUG
rnacentral:rRNA from 1 species